GAAUUUUGUGCUAUGGUCCGUCAGAUUUUUAUAUACACAAAAGAGGAGGUCCAGAAGAUGGAUUCAAGUACCUUGAACCCAAAAAAUGAAGAUUGUCCUGAUAUGAAAGAGAAUGUCAAGGAAACAAAAGGCAGUCAAUCUGCAUCAUCAUCUAAUUCAAAAAACUCAUAGGCUUAUCCUGCAAUGAUCUUGAAGCACAAACAAAGUGAUUUUUUGUGCUUUAUCUAAGUGAUUGUUUGAACAGUUUUAUAGCAUGCAUCUUGACAAUUAAUAUAAUUUUGAAGAUCACUAGCAAGGAAGAAUGUUCAAAGGAAAGUAAAGGCUAAGGAGAAGAUCACGUAAUUAACUACACGGGUCUAGUGAAAAUACUGAAGAAGUAUGACAAGAGAACAU